rnacentral:rRNA from 1 species
CGUGCUAAUCUGCGAUAAGCGCCGGUAAGGUGAUAUGAACCGUUAUAACCGGCGAUACCCGAAUGGGGAAACCCAGUGUGACUCGUCACACUAUCAUUAACUGAAUCCAUAGGUUAAUGAGGCGAACCGGGGGAACUGAAACAUCUAAGUACCCCGAGGAAAAGAAAUCAACCGAGAUUCCCCCAGUAGCGGCGAGCGAACGGGGAGGAGCCCAGAGCCUGAAUCAGCAUGUGUGUUAGUGGAAGCGUCUGGAAAGGCGCGCGAUACAGGGUGACAGCCCCGUACACAAAAGCGCAUGUGCUGUGAGCUCGAUGAGUAGGGCGGGACAC